UAAUUAGACAGUUGACUGAUAAGCAGUUCAAUUCCUACUUUUUCCCUGUUAUUUAGUAGUCAGGACUAGGGUAUUGGGAAAAAAAUGUACAUGCAAAUGUUAUAUGUAUCGCAAUAUUAAACAAUGAAGGAACUAUGAGGUCACCAGCCCCGCCCACACCCAAGCGCUGUCUUGCGUCCGGACUGAUCAAGAGCUGAGUCAGCACUGGGGAGACCGGACGGCUGCCUCUGGUAAAGCUACGGGAGGAGGUGUGUGUGUGUUUGUAAACAACGCGUGGUGUAGAGACGUUCAGACAGUUCAUCAGCACUGUUCACCAGACGUGGAGUUUCUCCUGCUUAAAUGUCGUCCCCACUACCUUCCACGGGAUUUUUUUCAGCUGUGUUUUUAUGCUCUGUUUACAUUCAUCCACGAGCGAACUCCACAGCAGCGCUCGGUGCACUCCAUGACGUCAUCAGCGCACUGGAGACGGCUCACCCUGAUGCCGGCAUCAUCACAGCUGGUGAUUUUAAUCAGUGCAACCUACGGACUGUAUUCCACAAUUACUACCAACAUGUGGAUAUUCCUACACGUGAUAAAAACACGCUGGAUCACGUGUACAGUAACGCACCACGCCCCCACUUUGGACAAUCAGACCACAUCUCCCUAUUCCUGUACCCAGCAUACAGGCAGAGACUGAAACAGACAACCCCCACAACCAGAACAGUGAAAAUAUGGACUCCGGAGACUGAGGGCAUCCUGCAGGACUGUUUUGCUACAACAGACUGGGAUAUGUUUGAGGCUGCAGCCACUAUGGUGGACUCUUCAAUCAACAAACAGGAGUAUGCUGAGCACGUGUCCGGUUACAUCAGCACGUGUGUGGACAACAUCGUGCCCACCAUACAGGUGAAGAGGUUCCCCAACCAGAAACCUUGGGUCAACAACCAGGUACGACACAUGCUGCAUGCUCGUUCUCUUGCAUUCAGAUCAGGCAAUGAGACUGAGUACAAAGCUGCGAAGUACAAACUGAGGAAGACCAUCACAGUGGCAAAGAGGCAGUACAGGGAGAAACUGGAUGGCUUCUACACCACUGCUGACUCAAGGAGGAUGUGGCAAGGCCUGCAGCACAUCACAGACUACAGGAGCACCACCAGCACCAUCAGCUUCACAGACAGCCUACCGUAUGAUCUCAACACAUUCUACACCCGCUUCGAGGCCUCCAGCAACAACACUGAGAGGGGUACACACACCCAGCUCUCCCAACCCCCCUCCUCCACACUCUCAAUAUCACCAGGCCAAGUUUGCAGAGCUUUGAGUAAAAUCAACCCCCGCAAGGCAGCAGGACCAGACAAUAUUCCUGGGCGGGCCCUCAAAGCAUGUGCGAACGAACUGGCUGGUGUUCUGGCCUCCAUUUUCAAUCAUUCCCUCAGCCAGAGCAUUGUUCCCACCUGCUACAAGACCACAACCAUCGUCCCCCUCCCCAAGAAGAGCCCCCCCACCUGCUUGAAUGACUACAGGCCAGUAGCACUCACUCCGAUCAUUAUGAAGUGCUUCGAGAGAGUGGUGCUGGCCCACAUCCAGCACAGCAUACCGGACACCCUGGACUCACUGCAGUAUGCCUACCGUCAUAACAGAUCCACCUCAGACGCCAUCUCUGCUGCCCUCCACUACUCCCUCUCACACCUGGAAAACAAAGACUCCUACAUUAGGAUGCUCUUUGUGGACUACAGCUCUGCCUUCAACACGGUCAUCCCCCACAAACUCACCCACAAGCUGUCCACACUCAGCUUGCACCCCUCCCUCUGCGACUGACUCCUGGAUUUCCUGACUGGCAGGCCCCAGUCUAUAAGGAUUGGCAACAGGACUUCAGCCAGCAUCACCACCUACACCGGCACCCCACAGGGAUGUGUCCUCAGCCCCAUCCUUUACACACUGUUUACCCACGACUGUGUCGCCUCACACAAGGACAAUAUCAUCCUGAAGUUCGCUGAUGAUACCGCGGUGAUAGGCGCAUCACUGGCGGAGAUGAAGUGGCCUACAGGAGUGAGGUGACCAGGCUGGUGUUAUGGUGCGAAGACAACAAUCUCGCUCUCAACACGGUCAAGACAAAGGAGCUGAUAGUGGACAUGAGAAAGGGUAGGAGACCUCAUCAGCCACUGUUCAUCCGGGAACUUGAAGUGGAGAGAGUGAGCAGCUUCAAAUACCUGGGCGUCCACAUCAGUCAGGACCUCACAUGGACAAUAAACACAACGCAGCUGGUCAAAAAGGCUCAACAGCGGCUGUACUUUCUGAGGAGACUGAGGAAGUUUGGGAUGUCUCCCAAGAUCCUCAACAACUUCUACAGCUGUGUGAUCGAGAGCCUCCUGACCAGCUGCAUCACCGUGUGGUACGGCAGCACGACUGUGGCAGAGCGCAAACGUCUGCAGAGAGUGGUGAAGACUGCCGAGAAGAUCAUCAGGACUCCACUGCCCUCCCUGCAGAGCAUCUACCACCACAGAGUCCACAGGAGAGCUGCAUCCAUCCUCAAAGACUCCACCCAUCCCCAGCAUGGACUGUUCACACUUCUGCCCUCAGGCUGGAGGUACAGAAGUGUAAAAUGCAGGACCACCAGGUUAAAGAACAGUUUCUUCCCCACGGCCAUCAGACUCUUGAACACACCUAAGGAAUGACCCUGCCUUCAGACUCUAAACACACCUCAGCUUUAUCAGGAUGCCCUGGAGUGUAUGACCCUUCUGUCCCAGAGACUCGGCUCCCAUAAAUUCUUCUUUGGAGAUUCG